rnacentral:rRNA from 1 species
UACGAAGGGGGCUAGCGUUGCUCGGAUUGACUGGGCGUAAAGGGCGCGUAGGCGGUUCGUACAGUCAGACGUGAAAUCCCUCAGCUUAACUGGGGAACUGCGUCUGAUACUGGUUGGCUUGAGGACAGGAGAGGAACGCGGAAUUCCAGGUGUAGCGGUGAAAUGCGUAGAUAUCUGGAGGAACACCGGUGGCGAAGGCGGCGUUCUGGACUGUUUCUGACACUGAGGAACGAAAGCCAGGGGAGCAAACGGG